CGGGGCGUAGCGCAGCCUGGUAGCGUACUUGCAUGGGGUGCAAGGGGUCGGAGGUUCGAAUCCUCUCGCCCCGACCA
rnacentral:tRNA from 18 species